GUAGGGAAUAUUGGGCAAUGGAUGCAAGUCUGACCCAGCCAUCCCGCGUGCCGGAAGAAGGCCCUCAGGGUUGUAAACGGCUUUUGACGGUGAAGAAUCGACAGGAUGCGUCCUGUUUUGACGGUAGCCGUUGAAUAAGCACCGGCUAACUCCGUGCCAGCAGCCGCGGUAAUACGUCGGGUGCGAGCGUUGUCCGGAUUUAUGGGUUUUAAAGGGUGCGUAGGCUGGAAGGUCAGUCAGCGGUGAAAAGCUGUCGCUUAACGAUAGUCUUGCCGCAGAUACUUCCUUUCUUGGAUGAGGAGGAGGCCACUGGAACGGAUGGUGUAGCGGUGAAAUGCAUAGAUAUCAUCCAGAACACCGAUUGCGAAGGCAGGUGGCUGUACCUUAAUCGACGCUGAUGCACGAAAGCAUGGGGAGCAAACAGGAUUAGAAACCCGAGUAGUCC
rnacentral:rRNA from 1 species